GACGAACGCUGGCGGCGUGCCUAAUACAUGCAAGUAGAACGCUGAAGGAGGAGCUUGCUCUUCUGGAUGAGUUGCGAACGGGUGAGUAACGCGUAGGUAACCUGCCUGGUAGCGGGGGAUAACUAUUGGAAACGAUAGCUAAUACCGCAUAACAGUAGAUGUUGCAUGACAUUUGCUUAAAAGGUGCAAUUGCACCACUACCAGAUGGACCUGCGUUGUAUUAGCUAGUUGGUGGGGUAACGGCUCACCAAGGCGACGAUACAUAGCCGACCUGAGAGGGCGAUCGGCCACACUGGGACUGAGACACGGCCCAGACUCCUACGGGAGGCAGCAGUAGGGAAUCUUCGGCAAGGGACGGAAGUCUGACCGAGCAACGCCGCGUGAGUGAAGAAGGUUUUCGGAUCGUAAAGCUCUGUUGUAAGAGAAGAACGAGUGUGAGAGUGGAAAGUUCACACUGUGACGGUAUCUUACCAGAAAGGGACGGCUAACUACGUG
rnacentral:rRNA from 1 species